GCCGCUGUAACUCAGUUGGUAGAGUAACUGAUUCGUAAUCAGUAAGUCGCGUGUUCGAGUCACGCCAGCGGCACCA
rnacentral:tRNA from 1 species